AUUGAACGCUGGCGGCAUGCCUUACACAUGCAAGUCGAACGGUAACAGGUCUUCGGAUGCUGACGAGUGGCGAACGGGUGAGUAAUACAUCGGAACGUGCCCGAGAGUGGGGGAUAACGAAGCGAAAGCUUUGCUAAUACCGCAUACGAUCUCAGGAUGAAAGCAGGGGACCGCAAGGCCUUGCGCUCACGGAGCGGCCGAUGGCAGAUUAGGUAGUUGGUGGGAUAAAAGCUUACCAAGCCGACGAUCCGUAGCUGGUCUGAUAGGGCGACCAGCCACACGGGGACUGAGAGACGGCCCAGACGCCUACGGGAGGCCGCAGUGGGGAAUUUUGGACAAUGGGCGGAAGGCUGAUCCAGCCAUGCCGCGUGCAGGAUGAAGGCCGUCGGGUUGUAAACUGCUUUUGUACGGAACGAAAAGACUCUGGUUAAUACCUGGGGUCCAUGACGGUACCGUAAGAAUAAGCACCGGCUAACUACGUGCCAGCAGCCGCCGUAA
rnacentral:rRNA from 1 species